rnacentral:rRNA from 1 species
AUUGAACGCUGGCGGCAGGCCUAACACAUGCAAGUCGAAUGAGUGGCGGACGGGUGAGUAAUGUCUGGGAAACUGCCUGCUGGAUGGGGAUAACUACUGGAAACGGUAGCUAAUACCGCAUACCAUCAGAUGUUCCCAGAUGGGAUUAGCUUGUUGGGGGGGUAACGGCUCACCAAGGCGACGAGCCCUAGCUGGUCUGAGAGGAUGACCAGCCCUCUUGGAACUGUGCCACGGUCCAGACUCCUACGGGAGGCAGCAGUGGGGAAUAUUGCACAAUGGGCGCAAGCCUGAUGCAGCCAUGCCGAGUGUAUGAAGAAGUCCUUCGGGUUGUAGAGUCGUUACAUGGGGAAGGCGUUCCCCGGAGAAGAAGCACCGGCUAACUCCGCGCCAGCAGGCGCGGUAAUUC